rnacentral:rRNA from 1 species
GAUGAACGCUGGCGGCGUGCCUAAUACAUGCAAGUCGAGCGAACGGACGAGAAGCUUGCUUCUCUGAUGUUAGCGGCGGACGGGUGAGUAACACGUGGAUAACCUACCUAUAAGACUGGGAUAACUUCGGGAAACCGGAGCUAAUACCGGAUGAUAUUUUGAACCGCAUGGUUCAAAAGUGAAAGACGGUCUUGCUGUCACUUAUAGAUGGAUCCGCGCUGCAUUAGCUAGUUGGUAAGGUAACGGCUUACCAAGGCAACGAUGCAUAGCCGACCUGAGAGGGUGAUCGGCCACACUGGAACUGGGACCCGGUCCAGACUCCUACGGGAGGCAGCAGUAGGGAAUCUUCCGCAAUGGGCGAAAGCCUGACGGAGCAACGGCGCGUGAGUGAUGAAGGUCUUCGGAUCGUAAAACUCUGUUAUUAGGGAAGAACAUAUGUGUAAGUAAAUGUGCACCUCUUGACGGUACCUAAUCAGAAAGCCACGGCUAACUACGUG